CCUGUGAGCCCUUGCAGCAGGCGCAGGACUGGAAUGCCACCGGGCCACGGAAUCCCAUGGAGAGCAUCUCUGCUGGGUCACCCACUCUGUUGAGAUUAGGGCUGACACUCAACAGCAGGAGCAACUAUGGCUGGCACCAACCUACAACCUAACUGGAUCAAUUUGUGCUUAGGAGGCAAUAUCAUAGUCACUACAAGUCUACAGUAUCCCACAAGAGGACUCAAUAUCAAGAUAAUACAUUACUGUACUUAUUAUGUUCUAAACACUUCCUAUACGUAAAGUUUAAAUAAACGUUUUUAAUAAGUCAACAAUGUGACCAUAUCAUGAAGGAUCAAGAAUCAUGACGUGUAAAAGAAUGGUUGAA